rnacentral:rRNA from 1 species
GAUCCUGGCUCAGAUUGAACGCUGGCGGCAUGCUUUACACAUGCAAGUCGGACGGCAGCACAGAGAAGCUUGCUUCUUGGGUGGCGAGUGGCGAACGGGUGAGUAAUAUAUCGGAACGUACCGAGUAAUGGGGGAUAACUAAUCGAAAGAUUAGCUAAUACCGCAUAUUCUCUGAGGAGGAAAGCAGGGGACCUUCGGGCCUUGCGUUAUUCGAGCGGCCGAUAUCUGAUUAGCG